UGCGAAGGGGGCUAGCGUUGCUCGGAAUCACUGGGCGUAAAGGGUGCGUAGGCGGGUCUUUAAGUCAGGGGUGAAAUCCUGGAGCUCAACUCCAGAACUGCCUUUGAUACUGAGGAUCUUGAGUACGGGAGAGGUGAGUGGAACUGCGAGUGUAGAGGUGAAAUUCGUAGAUAUUCGCAAGAACACCAGUGGCGAAGGCGGCUCACUGGCCCGAUACUGACGCUGAGGCACGAAAGCGUGGGGAGCAAACAGG
rnacentral:rRNA from 1 species